rnacentral:lncRNA from 1 species
UAAAGGCAUCAGUAAAAUUCAAUCAGUCAUCAUUCUACAUAUUUGCUGGAAAAAUAGCUUUUGUCCUUUAACUAUGCUUCAAGGUCCCCUUCUCACAUUUAGUUUAAUAAAAAAAUUAGAAGCCAUCAUCUAAGAAACCCAUGCAAUCCUUGUUUGUCUCUGAAGCAUCCAUGUAUCUUCCAUUCUGUGUGAAUUUAAUGUCACCUGUACUCCUGAUUUUACUUAGUUAAUUCUCUUGGCACCCUCAUUUUAUCAUUGUCUAUCUUAUCUAUGUAACCCAUCCCUUCUAUUAUAU